GAAGGACAGCGUACAGGGUAAUGAGGGAACAGGAAGUCUCUGCUGAUAACAGUGCCUUCAUAUCCUUUUGCUAAAAUAUUGAGGGUGAACUUUGCUCUUUUAGUCAAUCUGUCAGCAUUUUCAAACACAGUCAACACGUACGAGCACUCUGCACACGGGUGAAAUUGUUUUGGCUCAGAAAGCGUCUUUACGAAGAUUGUAGGUAGUAGAUGCCUGUAAGUAUGUAUGUGCUCCACAGGGGCUGCCUAGUGCCCAUGCCAGAAGAGGACAUUAGACAUUCUGGAACUAGAAAUUGAACCCUGGUCAUGUGGAAGAGCAGCCAGUGCUCUUAACUGCUGAGCCAAUUCUCCAGCCCCAUGUAACACUGUAGCACAGCACAUCUACAAACUGAGAUCUGCAUGGAAAGGACCAAUACAAUCCCAGAAUGAUCCAACCACCCAUGAUAUGCUGGAAAAUGGUCAGGCCACCAGCUGCAACCCAGCUCACCUGUUUCCUUGUGAGGUGGUGAGGUGCUGCUCCAAGGUGUGUCAUCUUCAAACUGGACCCAGUUGCUGAUGGCUGAGGCCAGGUCAGGCGUGGGCUGCACUGGGCUCCCCGGA